rnacentral:rRNA from 1 species
GACGAACGCUGGCGGCGUGCUUAACACAUGCAAGUCGAACGAUGAAGCCGGAGCUUGCUCUGGUGAAUUAGUGGCGAACGGGUGAGUAACACGUGAGUAACCUGCCCUUGACUCUGGGAUAACUGCUAGAAAUGGUAGCUAAUACCGGAUACGACCCUCGGAGGCAUCUCCAGGGGGUGGAAAGAAUUUCGGUCAAGGAUGGACUCGCGGCCUAUCAGCUAGUUGGUGAGGUAAUGGCUCACCAAGGCGACGACGGGUAGCCGGCCUGAGAGGGUGACCGGCCACACUGGGACCGAGGCACGGCCCAGACUCCUACGGGGGGCAGCAGUGGGGAAUAUUACACAAUGGGCGCAAGCCUGAUGCAGCAACGCCGCGUGAGGGAUGACGGCCUUCGGGUUGUAAACCUCUUUUAGUAGGGAAGAAGCGAAAGUGACGGUACCUGCAGAAAAAGCACCGGCUAACUACGUGCCAGCCGCCGCCGUAA